GACAGAGGAGGCGAGCGUUAUCCGGAGUUAUCGGGCGUAAAGGGUACGUAGGCGGCUGGUCAAGUCUGGGGUUAAAGACCACAGCUUAACUGUGGGGGGGGCCUUGGAAACUGACCGGCUGGAGUGGGGCAGGGGUUGCGGGAAUUCCCGGUGUAGAGGUGAAAUGCGUAGAUAUCGGGAAGAACACCUGAGGCGAAAGCGCGCAACUGGGCCCUAACUGACGCUGAGGUACGAAAGCUAGGGGAGCGAAAGGG
rnacentral:rRNA from 1 species